rnacentral:rRNA from 1 species
GGACUACAGGGGUAUCUAAUCCCGUUCGAUCCCCUGGCUUUCGUGUGUGAGCGUCAGGAACGCGCCAGUCUACUGCCUUCGCCUUUGGUGUUCCCCAUGAUAUCAACGGAUUUCACCCCUCCACCAUGAGUUCCGUAGACCUCUCGCGCCCUCGAGCCGUACCGUUUCGCUUGCGGACCGCAGGUUAAGCCCGCGGAUUUUACAAACGACUAAUACGGCCGCCUGGACACCCUUUACGCCCAAUGAUUCCGGGUAACGCUUGGGGCCUCUGUAUUACCGCGGCUGCUGGCAC